GAAGCCCCGCCGAGAUGCCCCGCCGGAAGUCAUCUUCGACUUCCGAAAUGCUCCGCCGGAAGGCUCUUCCACCAAUAGGAGAGCGAGUUUCCGCGCAGAGGCGGGAACGUUGGCUCAUCUAGCCAAUCGAGGCCUAGUCGGACUGAGAAGGGCGGGUGUUGAGAUGCGCCUGGGGAAGCCUAAAGCGCUGGAGGCGACAUUUGGCUGGGAGUCAAUGGGCGUAAGGUGGUGCCGCUCUGUUCUGUGGUAUCUCUAUGGUGGAACCCUAUGCUUUGCGGCGGACGUUAAGAGGUAGAAACGAGGUUCUGCAACGGAGAGAAAUGCCUGGAAGAAGAGACUGCCCGGAUGUUCGCCUGCCAUAGAGCCAUGAACAGACCAGAGUAUGUGUGGAAGCAAGGUGUGGAGGAAAACCUGGGGAAAGUGAGUGCGUGGAAGCAAGAUAGGAAGAAAAGCUAAACUGGGAUACCGUUGAGAAGCAACUUAUACUGAAGAAGGCAGAAGUCCAAACUCCAAACAUCUUGCCCGUGAUAUUUCUGACUGCUAAUCCACGAU